rnacentral:lncRNA from 1 species
GUUCACUCAGCAGCCCUGAGGGUGCCACCUCUCUUGCUUCUCUCCCACCUUCCUCCCCUAUGCCCAGAGCAGUGCUUCCUCUAGUUUCCUCAGACACUCCCCCACUCAGAUGCUAAGAGUCCUCCUCCUCUGGGGCUCAGCCCACCCAGCUUUGCCUCCUUCCACCCAUCUGGUCUGCCUCCAGGUUUCUUCCCUGUUUUUAGUCUCUUGUCUUCAUCUUGGAUGACUUCAGGGUCCCCCUGGGUCACUCACCUGACUUCCCAAUCUUAUAGAUCCCCAAGGACCUCUGCCAUCCCUUCAUUUCAGCCACACUCUGGACUUUGUCCUCAUCCACAAAUAUGCCGCCUUCGAAACCUGGAUUUCAGCUCCUGGCCCUGCGAGCCAGCUUCUGGUCCCUCCAGCUCUCUCUCCGUCCCUCUGCUCUCAAGUGCCCUUCAGUGCCCGGGCCCACCCCUCCAAUCCCUCUGGUCAUCAGGCCCUCCCUGGCUGCACUUCGCACCCCACUGAGCCUGGACUCCAGGAAGCCUUUGGAACAGGAUGCAAAUGCAGCUCUUUCCAUCCAGCCCGGCAUCCUGCUUCCAGAUGCAAGAGGCUGAGCAGGCCACUGGGAUAGUAUUUAAGCGGCUGUGACCACCAUGUCCCCAUUUGGAAACUGGAGCCCAGGGACCGCCCUCCCCCUCCCCUGUCCGGGCCUUUAAAGUGGUCUGAAUAAUACAUUACACUUUUAUUCGUCUUCCUCGCUAGAUGCAAGCACUUUACCGGAACCCUGUCAUAUUCAUCUUUAUGGCCUGAGGUUCUGCUCCUGGUAGGAGCUCAGCAAAUGUUCGGUAAAAUGAAUUUUUAAAGUAAUUAUUGAAUCAUCAAGUCAAUGUUUGGAUAAACCAGUCAGAGUGAGACUGUUCAUGAGUCUGCCUAGAAAAUACAUUUCUUCAUACAGUGCUGUUGUCUUUGUCGCUUGGCCUGGAAAAGGCUUUCCCGUAUAUACAUGUGAGAAGUGCCACAACCAGCUGUCUGAAUGCUUGAGUGCGAGCUAAGGGAGGCAGUAGAUCUGGG